AAUGAAUUAAGACGUUUAUGGCUAUUGAGAUAGAAUGAGUGUAUUUUGCAUAUGGAAAGGACAUGAAUUUAAUGGGGGUCAGAGGAAGAAUGCUAUGGACAAUGUUUGUGUCUCCCCAAAAUUACUAUGUUGAAACCUAAUCCCCAGUGUGAGGGUAUUUGGAGGUGAAGCCUUUGGAAAGUAAUUAGGUCAUGAAAGUGGAGACCUCAUGAAUGGAAUUGGUGACCUCAUAAAAGAGGCCCCAUAGAUAUUCCUGGCUGCUUCUGCCACGUGAAAACACAGCAAAAAGACAGCUGUCUAUGAAACAGGAAGUAGGUCCUCACCAGACACAGAAUCUGCCAGUACCCUGACCUUGGAUUUUCGAGCCUCCAGAACUGUCAAUGUCACUGUUCCGAAGCUAGACUUGCAGUUCACUGGGAAGCAUGACACCACAGCACCUCCAGCUGUGGACGCAUCAUGGACAAGGCAGGCUGAAAGGAGAACUUCUCAUUACUUGCACCACAGCAACAUUGGGCUCAAUGUAUGCCCAUGAAAAACCUCGUUUAAGAGAAUGCCUUGGAAAGGUGCCAAGGUCCCCAAACUAAUUAACUUUCAUCUCUCCUGUCCCUCUGUGUACAGAGGGCCUGCCCUCUGCACCCUCUCUCCAUGAGGAAUAUUAAACAUAGAACAUCAGCUUGAGAACACUCUAUUUAAAGCAAAAGUCCUUCUAAAGAUAGCCUUGAAUGUCCAUCUAAAUCAUCCUAAGUCCAUUUUCUGGCCCAGAAUCCACAAGGCCAGCGCCCCAGAUGGGCCCUACUAUGGUGGCUUAUAUCCAUAAAGAAUGUCUUUCAUGGUUCAUUGGUUGGAUUAAUCUGAUAUAAAAUGUCUAAACUGAAAA